rnacentral:rRNA from 1 species
CCUACGGGGGGCAGCAGUGGGGAAUAUUGCACAAUGGGGGAAACCCUGAUGCAGCGACGCCGCGUGAGUGAUGAAGUAUCUCGGUACGUAAAGCUCUAUCAGCAGGGAAGAAAAUGACGGUACCUGACUAAGAAGCCCCGGCUAACUACGUGCCAGCAGCCGCGGUAAUACGUAGGGGGCAAGCGUUAUCCGGAUUUACUGGGUGUAAAGGGAGCGUAGACGGCAGUACAAGCCAGAUGUGAAAGCCCGGGGCUUAACCCCGGAACUGCAUUGGGAACUGUGCGGCUGGAGUGCAGGAGGGGUAGGCGGAAUUCCUAGUGUAGCGGUGAAAUGCGUAGAUAUUAGGAGGAACACCGGUGGCGAAGGCGGCUUGCUGGACUGUAACUGACGUUGAGGCUCGAAAGCGUGGGGAGCAAACAGGAUUAGAUACCCCAGUAGUC